UGGGGAAUAUUGCACAAUGGGGGAAACCCUGAUGCAGCGACGCCGCGUGAACGAAGAAGGUAUUCGUAUCGUAAAGUUCUUUCCUAUGGGAAGAUAAUGACAGUACCAUAGAAGAAAGCUCCGGCUAAAUACGUGCCAGCAGCCGCGGUAAUACGUAUGGAGCGAGCGUUGUCCGGAAUUAUUGGGCGUAAAGGGUACGCAGGCGGUUUAAUAAGUCGAAUGUUAAAGAUCGGGGCUCAACCCCGCAAAGCAUUGGAAACUGAUAAACUUGAGUAGUGGAGAAGAAAGUGGAAUUCCUAGUGUAGUGGUGAAAUACGUAGAUAUUAGGAAGAAUACCAGUAGCGAAGGCGACUUUCUGGACACAAACUGACGCUGAGGUACGAAAGCGUGGGGAGCAAACAGG
rnacentral:rRNA from 1 species